rnacentral:rRNA from 1 species
UACGUAGGGUGCGAGCGUUGUCCGGAAUUAUUGGGCGUAAAGGGCUCGUAGGCGGUUUGUCGCGUCGGGAGUGAAAUCCACUGGCUUAACUGGUGGCUUGCUUUCGAUACGGGCAGACUGGAGGUAUGCAGGGGAGAACGGAAUUCCUGGUGUAGCGGUGAAAUGCGCAGAUAUCAGGAGGAACACCGGUGGCGAAGGCGGUUCUCCGGGCAUGUCCUGACGCUGAGGAGCGGAAGUGUGGGGAGCGAACAGG